rnacentral:lncRNA from 1 species
AUAUUUGUCCUCGUCCCUGCCAGUCUCGAAAAGGCACUCUGUCACGUGUACACAGGAAAGGGCCCUGACAAGAGGAUGGGACUGCAGUUGUGGCUGCCAGAGUCUUGCUUUGUCGCCCAGGUUGGAGUGCAGUGGCACGAUCUCGGCUCAGUGCAACCUCCGCCUCCUGAGUUCAAGUGAUUCUCCUGCCUCAGCCUCCCUAGUAGCUGGGAUUACAGGACAAGGAGAGGGACAAAUUCCUUCUUGGCAUCCUUAUGGCCCUGUGACCUGCUAAUGAAUGCUGACUCUGAGUUGCUACUAGAAUUUGGUUUCCUUGUGGCUUCCCAGGAAUUGGUCUCACUCUGCUCACUCUGUCUCCCAAGCUGGAGUGCAGUGGUACAGUCACGGCUCACUGCAGCCUCCACUUCCUGGACUCAAGUGAUCUUCUCACUUCAGCCUUCUGAGUAGCUGGGACUACAGCCCCCUCUGCAGCUCUUCAUGGGGGUCCACUCAAGUCAGAAGCCACAUUUGGGUGUGAUUCAGAGAGCUGUUUAUGCAAAACCAGCUUUGUCACCAUCAGGCAAGGCACCUGAAUUCCCACCGCAGAGAGUGUUGUGGCCGUGAGGACUUUUCUGUCACCAGCCAUUUCCAGGUAGACCCAGUGUAAUCACAAGCAUCCUUGUAAGUGGCAAAGAGGCAGAGGAGACAGCGCCAGAGAGGCAGCUGCAUGAGAAGGAUCAAGAUGUUGCUGACUUUGAAGUUGGAAGAAGAAGGCCAUGAGCCUCAGUAUGUGGGCGGCUUCUAGAAGCUGGAAGGGGCAAGGAGAUGGAUUUGACCCUUCAGCCUCCAGGGGCAGCUGUACCUGCCAUCACUGAUUGUAGCCUGGUGAGGCCUGUUUUAGACUUCUGACCUGUAGAGCUGUAACAUAAUACAUUUGGGUUGUUUUCAACCACUAAGUUUGUGGUAAUUUGUUGUAGCAGCUGUAGAAAAUGAAUACAUAUGAAUCCUCUGGCAUUUGUUUGAGAUUUGCUCUAUGGCCUAGUAUGUGGUUGUAAAUGUUCCAUCUGUGCCUGAAAAAAUGUAUAUUUCUAAUUCAGUAGUCUCUGCUUUUUUUUUUUAUUUUGUACCCCAUCAAUAAAAUGAUUUUCAGCAUGUAUCCCCAAAUAAA